GAUGAACGCUGGCGGCGUGCCUAACACAUGCAAGUCGAACGGGGAUCUUCGGAUUCUAGUGGCGGACGGGUGAGUAACGCGUAAGAAUCUAACUUCAGGACGGGGACAACAGUUGGAAACGACUGCUAAUACCCGAUAUGCCGCGAGGUGAAACCUAAUUGGCCUGAAGAAGAGCUUGCGUCUGAUUAGCUAGUUGGUGGGGUAAGAGCCUACCAAGGCGACGAUCAGUAGCUGGUCUGAGAGGAUGAGCAGCCACACUGGGACUGAGACACGGCCCAGACUCCUACGGGAGGCAGCAGUGGGGAAUUUUUCCGCAAUGGGCGAAAGCCUGACGGAGCAACGCCGCGUGAGGGAGGAAGGUCUUUGGAUUGUAAACCUCUUUUUCUCAAGGAAGACACAGGACGGUACUUGAGGAAUAAGCAUCGGCUAACUCUGUGCCAGCAGCCGCGGUAAU
rnacentral:rRNA from 1 species